GAUGAAGAACGCAGCGAAAUGCGAUAAGUAAUGUGAAUUGCAGAAUUCAGUGAAUCAUCGAAUCUUUGAACGCACAUUGCGCCCUCUGGUAUUCCGGGGGGCAUGCCUGUUCGAGCGUCAUUAUAACCACUCAAGCUUUCGCUUGGUAUUGGGGCUCGCGGUUCCGCGGCCCCUAAAAUCAGUGGCGGUGCCUGUCGGCUCUACGCGUAGUAAUACUCCUCGCGAUUGAGUCCGGUAGGUCUACUUGCCAGCAACCCCCAAUUUUUACAGGUUGACCUCGGAUCAGGUAGGGAUACCAGCUGAACUUAAGCAUAUCAAUAAGCGGAGGA
rnacentral:misc_RNA from 1 species